AAUAUAUUUUAUUAUAGUAAUAAAAUUUAUUAAUUAAAUAGUUUAUAUGUAAAUUUUUGUAAGAGUAUAUGGAUAUAAUAAUUUAAAAAAUUAUAGUUAAGUAAAUAUUUUAUAGUCGCAGUAAUUUAUAUUAUUAAUUUAGGAAGUUAUGAAUUAGUAAUUUAAUUUAAUAUAGGUUUAUUUUGUGCCAGCAAUCGCGGUUAUACAAAAUAUAUAAGUAAAUUAUAUUAGAAAAAGAUAAUUAAAGAAUUAAAAUAUUAAUAUUAAAGUUUAUAUUAUUAAGUAAAAUUUUAAUAUUAUAUAAAUAUUAAUUAAUUAGGUUAUUUAUAUUAUAAUUUUUAUAAAAAACUAGGAUUAGAUACCCUAUUAUUAAAAUGUAAAAUAGAAUUUUAGAUGAGUAUUAAUUAUAUUUAUGAAAUUAAAAUAAUUUGGCGGUAUUUUAGUCUAUUCAGAGGAAUUUGUUUUAUAAUCGAUAUUCCUCGUUAUAUCUUACUUAUUUUAUUUAAUUUGUAUAUCGUUGUCAUUAGAAUAUUUUAUAAGAUUAAUAAUUUUCUAGGAUUAUAUAAGAUUUUAUGUCAAAUCAAGGUGCAGUUUAUAUUUAAGGAAAAAUGAAUUACAAUAAAAUUUAAUUAAAAUGAAUUAAAAAUUGAAAUAUAAUUAUGAAGGUGGAUUUGAUUGUAAAUAUUUAAAAAGAGUAUGAAAUUGAUUAUAGCUCUAAAAUAUGUACAUAUUGCCCGUCGCUCUUAUUAGAAAAUAAGAUAAGUCGUAACAAAGUAGGAUUACUGGAAAGUGUUUCUAGAUAGA
rnacentral:ncRNA from 1 species